rnacentral:rRNA from 1 species
GACGAACGCUGGCGGCGUGCCUAAUACAUGCAAGUCGAACGCAGCUGGGACGGGUUAGUAACACGUGGGUAACCUCCCAUCAGAGGGGAUAACACUUGGAAACAGGUGCUAAACCGAGACUGAUGGAUGGACCCGCGGUGCAUCAGCGAGUUGGUGGGGUAACGGCUCACCAAGGCCAGGAUGCAUAGCCGUCCUGAGAGGGGGAUCGGCCACAGUGGGACCGAGACACGGCCCAGACUCCGACGGGAGGCAGCAGUAGGGAAUAUUAGGCAAUGGGCGAAAGUCUGACCAAGCAACGCCGCGUGGGUGAAGAAGGUUUUCGGAUCGUAAAACUCUUUUGUUGGAGAAGCGGUAUCUAACCAGAAAGCCACGGCUAACUCCGUGCCAGCAGCCGCGGUAAUAC